UUGCCUGUGAGAAUGCUAAAGCCCCAGAGAGAGCAAGGGACACGCCUGGAGGGACACGUUUGGUGGCAAAAGCAGCGCUGGAUUCCAGGUGUGUUACCGGCUGCUUUGGCAAAACUCCCCACCCAUCCCUGACGCGUGCCGCGCAAGGCCGCCGUGCCUUCCGCUGGGCGCAGCCAUGAUGAAACAUCCGGGGCUCAGCCACGUGACCGGCUCCAGCCAAUGAGCUGCCAGCAGGCGUGCUAGGAAGCGGAAAUAGGACAACACUUGCCCCCGGGAGCUUGUUUGCGCUCCUUCCUCUUGCCGUCUCCAUGGGGGAAAAAAAGGGACGAGAGAAACACGAUGGAGUCAGACUUCUUUGGAAGCAGUCAUCCGGUGUGCUGUGUUGAGAAGGAUUCUGAAACUGCAAGCAAGACUGCGUGAAUGGUUGUAGCGAUCGAUUAGCAAUGUCUGUCAUGGGUGAAGCACGGAGUGAAGGAAAUAAUGGCAGUGACGUCAGUGAUCCCAGUGGGGCCAUGGAGCAGAUCUUCACACGCUCACAAGCCCCAAGUCUGCAGCAAACGACGGGCACGAGAAACGCCGAGUAUGUGUUCUCAAAGCCGCCCUGCCGAUGUGACAAUGCAGUUUCCUAUUCUGUGAGCUCUGUCUGUGUCAUCCCUUUCUGUAAUAAAGACUGUUUCCAUUUGAAUUUACGCAGGCACACAUGACCUGCGGGGAUGGACAGUCGUGGCCACCUCGGGGCAGUAUGUGGCGUCUUCAGCUGCUCUGGUCGUGAGAAUCAGGGGGGGAGACUAAAGAUCAGGCACGCGUCUCAAACGCAGACCCUUCUGAAACUCAGGCCACAUCGCGUAGGGUUAAGCAGAAAUAGAGCCCUUCUGGGAGUUGGCUAACACUCCUCUUCUUCCUGUCUUUCCUAAGUGCCUAACCUUGGUAUUUUCUGCUUUGCCGCAUGCAGAUUCUAGGAUAGAUUCCACGCCAUGCCUGUGCAGUGAGAGAUCCUUUGUCUCUGGGACUGCAAGCCCAUUUCCACUGGUAGCAGAUGAGAAGUGCCUCCCUCUUGGCUUCUUGGUCCACCGUCCCGGACAGUGUCUCUGGGCUCUGAGCCCAGAAAGGCCAGCCUUUCCCCAGCCUCCCGCCUCGGCUUCUAUCUUCGCCGUGACACCUGCUGGCUCCGGCCCCCUCCUCUCUCUGAGCUUUGGGUGACCCGUACGCCACUCUGCUUCAUUCGCAGUGACCGGAUCAGAGGCUCUGCAAAUGCACAUACCAAGGUGGUUUUUCCAAUGUCGCUAUUCAUGAAAAAGACUUAUGUCCUCCGCUAGGGCCUACUGAGGAGAAAGGAAAGGACAGGAAUAGACGUUUGUCCUUUCCGAAUGCAAAUCAUGCCGCGAAGCCCUCAUCUCAUGUGAGGGACAUCCGCUGGCACUUGAGAGCGAGGGGCUGAGAGAGGGCUGCCCGUCUUCGAAAGGACAACUGUCACUCAGACACACUGGAUGCGAUGGGUAGAGCUGCAGAGAGGAAUCAUGGAACCUGGGUCUAUUCCUGAUUCAACUACCCACCAGUCCUUCUAAUCUCCAUUUUUAUUAAAAAAAAAAAAAAAAGGAGACGAUAAUACCUAUCUUACAUUUCUUACAGGGUUGGUAUGAAGAGCAAAUAAGAUAAGGUAUGAAAGUCCUCAGAAAUAAUAAAGCAUGGCAACAAUAUAAGACAAGCAUGCGGUGACCAGCAUGGUUUUGUACCAUGGUAAAUCAGACCAAAUUUAUUUAUGUGCGUGUGAGUUUUCUUUGAGUCCAUUCGAUGGGUUUUUUUGACCUCACAUUUAAAUAAAUGUUGCCCCCACGUCUCCUUUUACAAAAUCCAUUUUCAGUCAUUUUAUCUUUACUAAAAGAGAAUAUUUCAUCGCACAUUGGAGAUAAAAAAAGAAAUUUGCAGCUAAAGGUCCACAGGGGGAAAAAAUAUAAAUGAGUCCAUUAACGAUAACUAAAAAGUCAGUCCAUCACAAAUGAAAAAGGCAAGUAAACAGUCACAUUUAAUGAAAUCUAGUUAACGAAAUAAAUUACUCUCUAUUUCUCUUUUCCCCAGUGCCGAUGUUUCAUGACUAGCUUUCGGAAACCCAGUGUUUGGAGAUAAAGUUAAUUCUAAAUGUAGUUUCUCAACUAUUUAAAUAGCAAGUCUUUCUCCCAUGUUUACUUAAAUGCACACACAGAGCUGCACGAAGUCCAAACACUGAACACUUUAUAUACUGAGACUAUGUAGUUAUCAGUGCAAACGAGAAGUCUACGUGAUAAGAAACAUCAUGCUCACGUCCCAGCCUUUCUGUUCCAAGUGGAAUUUCUAGAGAUAGAACCCUAGAUGUGAAUCAUUCUCACAAAGUUAAUUUUUUAUCAACAUAAUGAAAAGCGCAGUUGUCAAGUACUCUCACACACAACAUUGCAUGGUAGGUAUUUCUAAAAAGUUUCACAAAUAUUCCAUAAACAUUUAUGGAAGGCUUAUUAUAUACCACCAGUUGAUAUUCUAGGCACCUAGACUAUGUCCAUAAACAAAAGAAAAUAUAUUAAAAAUUAGAAGGUGACCUUAGAAGGUAGUAAGUUUUUAAAUGAAAUACAUAUUAAAUAUGGUUUUGGGAUUAUCUAUGAAUAAGUCGUUCAAAUAGAUAAUAAUUUCUCUGCUCCUUAAUCCAUAAAAAUAGUAGUUAACAUUCACAAACCAGCAGUUACCAUUCAUAAACCAUGUCCUCUUCCAACAUAUCAACAGGAAGAACCUUUCUAAAUUCCUUUGACCUUGCAAAGCACACGCAGUGGUAAUGCUACACUAACAAAGGAGUUUCCAUUCAAUUGUAUCUACUCCUUUCAUUCUUCCUUGCACAUUGUAAGGUGUAGUGUUAGUAGCUGGAUGUGAAAAAUUAAUAUGCGUAAUUUCAUCUUUGUACUGCAUUUUGUUUUUUCUUCCGGAAAAAUUGAGGGUGCAAAUCCAAUUGGAGACCACGGUAGUCCAUGGCACAAAUUAACAUUCCUGUGAGCAUCUCUCCGUGUUUUUGGCAGCAAAGGUGUAGAACAGAAAGAGCACCGGAUUAGGAGAUGGAGUCAUGGAUUCUACCUCUUGCCUUGGUGUAAAUUUAUAUGAAACAUACAUUAUCUGAGUAUAUUAACUUUUUAAAGGCUCUAAUGGAAGAUAAAGCCACAUUCUGAGCUAUUGGAGUUUUAGGCUUUCACAUAUAAAUUUUGGUCUAUAGCACACAGUUGUCCAAUUUUUGGCAAAAGCACUGUGCCUCACACAUAUAUAAAGUUAUUUCAGUGAGCUUUUUUAGCCUCGGAGAGAGUUUUAUAAUUUUGUUCCCAGAAAUCUCUUUCACAGAGGAAUAAUUGUUGGGUGUUCACUGAUUUGUGGUUAGACAUGAUCUUAUUAAAAUAAGACAUAUCUCAAGGAGUGUAAAUUUCUCCAAAUUUCUUACAAAUCCCAUUCAGAACAUUAUGGUAAAGAUGCAAUGGUAUCCAAAAUGUUACAAACCAUUGGUUACUAUAGGAAUAUAAGAAUAUACACUCACGUACAGCUAGAUUGUUUGGAAAGUUUUUGAGACCUAGCCAUAUAAUAAGAUUUUAUAUGAAGUGAAUAGAGGUAUCUCUACUAGAUCCAAUUUCAUUUCUUCAAAAAUAGAAACAAAGUAAGAGUAUUUAAUACCAAUAAAUGACAGAGUAAAACUCUCAAAGAUAAGAUAAAGGUUACAUGGGUUUUGCAACCAAGGAUGACAGGUAGAAUAAUGUCACAUGUGUGGGCUGGAAGGAAAUUAAACAUUAUUUAGUCAUUCAUUUUGUACACAGGGAAAUUAAUUCCUGAAAAGGCAAACUGUCUCCUUCGUGUGACAUAAUAGAAAUAGAAUCCCAAACUACCCACUCCUCCCUAUUCAGUGCUCUGGUUUCCAUUCUAUUACUCACCUGGGAAAGGUGUAUGAAAUUUGAAGUGAAGGUCUUGGGCUGCCUGAGGCCUUCCUAACCUUGGUGAAAGGAAAUCUACAAGGUAUUGCAAGGAAUAAGUUCCACCGACAAAAUCUAGAUAGGAAACAAGGAAGCCUAACGGGAAAAAAUCAAAUCUAGAUUCGAGGGACACAGGGAAGCCACUUCCUAUCUGUGUGAUCUUAGGCAAGACACUCCACUUCAUUAAACCUAAUUGUGUCAUUUGCACACUGGGAAGAACAAUAAUUCUUGCCCUGUAAGCUUCACUGGGCUACUGAUGAACAACAAAGAUAAAGAACUUGCAAACUCUUGGUAAAUAUUAAAGCAGUAUUCAAACACGACAGUGAUCAUCGUCGUUACACGCCAGGAAUGAGCGUGCCAAUGAGAUCCCUUUUUAGGCAGAGAGUUCAUUUGGAAAUGCAAUCUGGGCUAGAUAGACUAAGAAUGAAAAUGUCAGUUUUAUUUACUUUCCUUUAAAAAAAAAAAUAGCGCCAGCUGCAUAAACCCCCUCAGAGUUCAAGUUUAAAGAACACCAGCUCCAUUUUAAUUACAGCAUAUAAAUGGUGGCCUAUAAUGACAGCUUCGGCUAAGAGGAGGUGAUAUUAAAACCGGUGCUUUCCUGGCACCAUUCCAGUGGAACUAGCCGGUUUAAUAAAGGACGGGCACGGAGGUUUAGGAUUGAGGACCCUUCUUCAAAGAGAACUCCCUACUGGCAAGUCUCUGAAAAUCCAAUUAGUGACAACCGUCGGUAAUUAGUUAUAGAAGAUCACAUCUAUAUAAAGCCUGAAUGCUCCUGUUCCCACCAGUCUCUGCAUGCCACAUAAGCUCAUACGUACU